CCGGGCUUCUGUGGUCCACCUGGCCCCACAGAGAAAGCAAUGCACAAAGCCUCCAGUGUCCGGGCCGAGCUGCUGAGAGGCCGGCGGAGUUCCCUUGCGUGGGUUGAGGCCCAUUUCCUGGGAGGAGAGAAGCUCAGUAGCAGGCCACGCAGGAGCUGGUGUCCACACAAGGCACACUGCCAGGCUUCGACGGCACCCUCUUCACCCCCAGCAGUUCUGGGCACCCGUGUACCCACAAGAACACUUACGCACAUCAGCUAAGAGAGUGCACCUGCUGACCUAAAGCUCCCAGCCGGAGCCUCGGAGGGUGCGAGACAGACAGCGGUAGACAGCUCUGCAGGCGGGUGGCAGGGGCUUACUUGUAGCUGGACUGCAGGUGCUCCCACCCACGUACUUAAUCCUGCCACCUCGCCUCACGUCCCCACACUGCCCCAGGAUCACCCAGCCAGGCCACGGGCGGAAGGGACGCAGACCUCAGAAGGGGAUCAUCCACCUCAGACCAAGGCCUGGGGAAACUUGUGACCAGCCCUAGAGUCAGGGGGGGUUUGUAUGGUGCUGGUUUUAGCAGAUCCCUGGUCAAACCUUGAUUCCUGAAGGAGGGUGAGCGGUGGGGAAGGUGGGGGCUCCCCCCUUACCCUCCACUUGGGCUCCCAAACCUGCCAAGCAGGUUGUUCCUUUUUCUGCAACAAGGGAAAGGAACGGGCAAAGGGAGGCCUGGGGGUCAUAGAGAGGCCCAGAGGGGCUGGGACGGUGCCUUGAGUUGGCUUCUGUUCCCCUCCCU
rnacentral:lncRNA from 1 species